UCUUUGCGUUCAGGCAGCUUGUUUGCUGGAGGGCAUUCAGCUAGGAGUUUGCAGGGACAGCGUAGACAAAGGAGGUGGUGCAAGAGCGCAAAACUAAUUCAUGGGGAGGAUAUCUCAGCCUGUAUUUUGGAAGCGGCAGGUUUGUUCCUGAAAUCACGGACCUAACGCUGCGCUAGAUUGCAAAGGAUGAGGCCCUUUUCUAAUCUAAAAACCUGCCUUUUUUCUUAAGUGGUAACGGGGGUGGGGGGGGGGAGGGCGGGGGAUGUAAAAGGAAAAUGGACAUCUUCCCUGUUGCUUUUGGCUCUUGUUCUUGCCCUAGUAGUUUUACUGUAAUUUGACGCCUGAAAAUGUCACAUUAUGAGGCUCUGAUACUAAUCGGAACUACUAGUCAAGGCUUUUCAGGUCACGGGUGCCGACCAAAAGGGAAAUAGGUAAUAUUUUCAAGAAUUGUCUUUGAAACCGUUUGGCUUAACAUCAUGUUUUCCUAUAAACAUGGGCUUUGUUUAGUUAUUUGAUGUAAAUAUGUAUUUGUUUAAAUUAUUGGUCAUGGUUUGAAGGAAACGUUUUCCACAUCAUGGAAUAUGAUUUUUUGGUUUGGGGCCCACUUUGAACUUUUGGAAAAUAUCUGCUAUUGUCUCAGCCCUCAUUGUCACCCUGAGAAUGCUGAGAGGGGAUUUUUCUUUUCUAAACUGCUGUUUAUGUUAGGAUGACCUAAAGUAGGCAACCUAAAUAAAGUAAUGGUUUGUUUUUACAGUCAAAAUAUUAACUAUCAUGCCCCUCUGAGGUCUAUAUUUGUAUGCCAAAGUGCUAAGCCGUUUUCUUCUUUGAGGCAGUCUGGCUGGGGAAAAAGAAUCACAUAAGGCCUUUACUGUAGCCUGUCCCCCAACUCAGACUGGGCUCUUAUUAAAAGGCCGUUUUACACCAGUAAUCAGGUGCUUAAGGUGCAUUUCUCAUCUCCACUGUGUUAAAAACGGCAAUUAGGGUCCCAGCUUGGCCGUAGAAACAACUUUUGUCUUGGGUUCAUUCAGUAAAUAUUUGCGUUCCUGCUCUGUGCCAGUCACUGUGGUUGAGAUGCAUAGUGUUGCCAGACUCUGGCACUAACAAUGGUAGCCUCUUUUCUAGUGGGGAGAACCGUGAGGGUCACGUGGAAGGGUAGAAAGAGGAAGAGAGAGGCAAGCUGUUCUGGAGCAAGAGCUGGCCCUCUGCAGUGUUGUGAAAUCUGUGGUUUGUCUUUGAGGCUUGGUUCCCUCAAGCACCCCAAAUCCAUGGUCUGAACUUAAGAUCCUUGCCUCCAAGUGUUCAUGUGCUUCAACUACUUGUUGCUUGCCUGUCACCCCAAACAAAAGCCCCAUCUUAAGAAAGCUUGUUUUAGGUAUUUCAGUAGAAGGAUAUUGGGAACUAGCUCAUGUGUAUUGGUUAGUCCUAUUCCCCUCUCACUGUGGUGGCAGCAUUGUAGGAUUAAAGGUUCUGAGUCAGGCCUGAACUCUGCUUAUAUUGUGUGACACUGGAAAAGCAGUUGUGCCAUUUAGCCUCAGUUUUCUCAUCGGUAAAAUGGAAUGAUGAAGUGUACAUCUUUUUAGGUUGUUGAAAGGUUUACAUGGUUCCUUAAUUCUGAAAAGAGGAGAUUUGUUAACCUAAAGGAAUCUCUCAAUUGGUGGGGUUUUAGACACUGCAACAAAAUGAACACAUUUGGACAGUGUAUGAAGACUGAGUAUGAGGUCAUUCCCCCUGAGUUUUAGUCUCCUUUCCUUCAUUCUUGGGGUCAUUUUGUGUCCCUCCCAUACGGGCUUGCUCCAGGUUUUCUCUUGGUGGCGGUGGUGGGGGUGGGGGAGGGGGAUCCCUACAGGUGGUUUCAGUCUCUCUUUCUACCAGCGGUCUUCACACAGAUGAUCUUUUUAGUCCAGCAAAUAUUACGUGAAAUCCUGUGUGCCAAGUACGACAAGGCAUUGGUGAAGGAGACGCAACAGCAGUCAACGAAACAGAUUUUUAAAUGCCUGUCUCUGUGAAGCAUAGCUUCUACAAUUUUGAAUUGGGGAGAAUUCUUGACAUGUUUAUUGAGGACUUACUGUGUGUUGACACCUAAGCAAAGUAUUAUUCAGAUUACACACAAAGUUAUGAGACAGGUCUUGACCCCAAAACAGCUGUGGCCAGCAUGUGAAAUUCAUGAAAAUUCAUUUUGAGGGUGUUAGGUAGAAAUGAACAUAAAGACAAAAGAACUUUAUAGUUUUCCUGGAGUUUAACAUGAUGGCUCAUUUUCAAGCUGUGGAUUGAUUUAUGAAAUCAGAAACCUUUCGCUUUGUUUUGCAGUGCUACUAUCAAUUUGGCAUGUGUGAAUUUCUGAAUAAGAUUUAUUUGUCCUAUCCCUUUAAAGAGCAAAUAGUCAAUUUUUUUCUUAGGCACUUUGGUAUUUUAAAAGUAUGUUUUGGCAAGUGCUAUACUUUAUGUAGUAUACCUUAUGAGAUACUUUAUAAACAAGUGUACUUUAAAAAUAUGUCUUUGUCAUUAAGUCGAAUGCAUUGGUGGGUAGAGAAUCAUUUGCUGGAGGCUAACAAAUUUUAUAUUUUAACUGGUAAAGAAUUUAUGUUAAGAAACAGAGUUUUGAAGGAGCAUGUCUUGUAUUUAUGCACAGAUCACGGUUGCUUUCUUAUUACUUACUCAAAUGGUAAGCUUAGAACUGGAAGCAAAAUAUUUAGUAUCUUUGCAGAGAAGCCUCGCUAGGGUCUGCUAUGGAGCAGACAUUGUAAAUGUGCUUUAUGUGUGUGCACACUAACUUUUUGUUUGAGCCCAGAGUGGGGGUUGGGAAAGGAGAAAGCCCUGUGUUGAUUAUGUAUGCUGAUGUGCUGUUGGGGAAGGAUUUAACAUCAGCCACUUCUUGCUUUGCAUAGAAAUUUUCAGGAUUAGAUGUUACAGCCUUCGAGAAUCAUUUUACCAAAUAAUAAACCUUUUUUUGCUGACUUGCUUAGGAAUACAAUAAAACUAAAAAAAAUGAAUCUUAGGUUUUUGUGUUUAAAAAAAGUAAUCCUGUUGGAUGAAGCCUUUAAUGGUUCCUUUAAUGAAUCUGAAACUGGUUUUUAGGAAUUCUCAUAAACAGUGAAGGAGAUUGAUGUAAAAACAGGAGUUUGUGUGAAAGGGAUCAUGGACUCUUGGACACAGAUUUCAAAAUAUCCAGAGAAAACGGACAUAUGAUCAUGAGAGCAAGGGCUCUGAAUAUUCAAAAAGAGAUGGAGGCUCUAAAAA